CCGGUAAAGAAAGGAGCCAGCUCCCUUAACAGCCUUGCCCUAGCUGUAUGAGGAGAUACACAGAGAAACCAAACAUGCAGUUGCCUGCAUGGUCCUUACUGGUGUGUUUCAUGGUGUGUUUCCCCAAGGAUUCAGUUGCCUGGACCCAGAGCAGUGACUGACUCUGCUGAAUUAGAAAAGUGGAAAAACAUCUUUUUCCUGCCCAACAGCACCUUUCACCCUCUUUGCCAGCUUUAAGACUUCAAGACCACCUCCAAAAACUCCUGAAGGUGGUAUACAGAUUCCGCUGUGUUUGGAAGAGGCAGGAUGGAGCACUAGAGAUAAAAAGAGAAAGGGAGAGACAGGAGAAAAGGAAGAAUGACCACUAUCCUGCAUAGCUGCCCAGCAUCUGCUAAGAAAAUAAAAAUGGCUAUAUUUGCAGCCAGAGGCUUG
rnacentral:lncRNA from 1 species